rnacentral:lncRNA from 1 species
AUCAAUUCAAGGGUAACACAUAUUUAUAAGAAAAUGACAUGAAACUGAAAAUGUAAAGUUCAACACAUACACAAUGAUAUAGGAGAAUGUAAAGGGUACUAUUCCUAAAAAUAAUUAGAUGAAUCGCAAAUAACUAAAUUACGCUGAUCAAGAGUGAUAGGUUCUGUGGAAAAAGGCUAAGGCAGCAAUAGCCAAUCUUCAAAGAUUGCUCACCUCUGUAACAUCUACGACUACAACAGAAUACAAAUAACUAAAUUACGCUGAUCAAGAGUGAUAGGUUCUGUGAAAAAAGGCUAAGGCAGCAAUAGCCAAUCUUCAAAGAUUGCUCACCUCUGUAACAUCUACGACAACAGAAUAGGACAAACAAGAAACCAUUAAGAUUCCUAUGAUUAACCAUCCAAAGAAUCUUAAGUUGAGAAGGGGUCAAUAAAGAAAGGUUUGGAAGUAGUUCUUUGCCUGAGCGACUUAUAUUUAAAUCAACAAACAGAAAUUUUGGCUGUUGGUAGGAAUUAAUAUAAAAUUCAUUUAUGUCUUAGGAGUAUAUCUA